ensembl:snoRNA SNORD15 Small nucleolar RNA SNORD15
CUUCAAUGAAGAUUCGAUGACGAGUCUGACAGGAGGUGGACUCUUUGUUCAGGUGUUCUACUCUGCUGCGUUCUGCAGACCAGAAUUCAGACUCCUGGCUCAAAGUAACUUCCUAAAGAAGACGUAGAGGCAUUUGUCUGAGAAGG